rnacentral:lncRNA from 1 species
GUAUACCAGCUCUAUAUUGCUGUAUACCAGCACCCGAUUCUACUGCGUUUUUUCUGUAAACACAUAAUAUACGUGUGUGAAAUCAAUCCUGUAUGUUAGCUUCCAAAAUCUGCAUACUUGCAUCCCUUUCCUAUUUUUCACUCUAUAUCAAUGGUAUAGCAUUGUAUACUUGAUGUAUACUGCUGAGAAUCAGUCUUUUUGAGAAUUUUGGCAUGACGUUGGACUAGAACUUGGACUUGAGCCAAAAAGAAUGCGUGGUAUGGAGUCAAAUUAGACUCGGAUGAGUUCACAUGUAUCAAAAAAGAAAAAGACAAAGAAUUAAUGUGUGGCCAAAGAGAGUCAAAAGCAUACAACAAUAAACACUUAUAUGCAUAUCAAAAUUAAAUAAAUCAUGUAGCACUCAUAGAUAGAUUAAUCAAUUAACCUUUAACCAGAAAAUGUUCCACUAUGAACAAAACUAUAACUUAACAUAUUUACAAUAAACAUGCUCGCAACUAACCUACACACAUAACAUAAGACCCGUUCAAGAUAAUUGAUUGUACAUAUAUGAGACCAUGAACUAACGUUCAAACAACAACUAUUUCUUUCUCUUAUUAAAAAAACAGAACUAAGGAAAAAACAAACCUCACCAAGAUUCCAUAAAUUUGGACCAAAUUCAAGGUAAAGUUGUAAACUUUGGGCAAAAGAACAAACGAAAUAGACUAGAUACAAACACGGAUAGAAUAGUUUAACAAGAAGAACACACAUGUUUGAUUUUUUUAAGAACAAAAAAUAAACAACUAGUUGUCAAAUAUGGAAUUUCUUAAAGAGUCCUAUAGUUAUAAAUAGAAAGUUUUGCAAGCCAGUUUCAAACAAAGCAAAGUGUAUGAUAAUUCAAAACAUAUGUAAGUCUUAUUACAUUCUAUUUAUCCACCAGAAGAGUAUUUAACGAAUAGGAAGGUCAUAGUAGAUAAAAGAGAGGUUUGGUGAAUUUCAACACAUCCAAAAAAAAAAAGGGGUUUGAUCUAAUCACAUAUACACAGAAUCCAAGUAAAUUAUAAGGAACUAAAGUAAAUUAGAGAUCAACCUAAGAUCAAAAAUUAAGUAGACGAAAAUCGAGUGGAGAUCUUAACAUGAUAGUGCAAAAUAUUAGUCGAACCAUACCAAAUAUACGAUCAUAACUGAAUCAAUAAGUUUAUAAUAUUUGGAGGUCAAAACGACAAACUAUCAAAAUCACAUAUACGCUGAAUUAAGCAUUCCAGGAAGAGCAAAGAAAAUGCAAACCAUCCAAAUACAUAGGCGACUGAAACGAAAAUAUGAAGGAGAAGAGAUUACCUUUUUUAGUGCAGCGAAUGAGACAACGAUCUUAUCACGACAAAGUUUCAACCAUCGAAACUCGAUUCACAUUUGUCGGAAUUCAACGAGUUUUCAGAUUUUGAUUUUUGUAAGAGUAUUCCUUUUUGAAUUUUUUAUUACAUGAAAUUAGAGAAAUGCUCCUACAAAAUUCUUUAAAAAAAAUUCAAAAAUCCUCUCAUUAACCUUCAACUGAUAUUAUCUAUUUAUAGAGGAGAUUGGAGAUGUUUUGGGAGAAAACAUAGGGGUAAACAUGUAAAAUCAAUUAAAAAAAUUUCAAUUUCAAAAUUGGAUAAGAAUAGAACUUUUAGAGCAAUGAAAUCGAUGUGAACUUGGACCAAGUCAAGGCCAAGUUCAUUAGAAAAAUUGGUGGUGAAAUUCACACAGCUAUGUACCACAAUGGUACGAUCUGAGAUGAAUACCACCAGAUAUCAUGGUAGACAAACGUUGGAUGAUCGAUGAGGUGGAUUCAACAGAAUCCAAAGGGGUCUGAUGGGAUUUUGAUGAAUUUCGGGUGUUGGGCCGUCAUUUCAUCAAUUAAAGGGUGUCGUUUGUUCGCUGCUAAAUAGAGAUAUCAUUGCCGUUGAAUAUUGUUGUUAUUGUUCACAUUUGGGAGAGAAAGAGUCAGAGUGAGAUAAAGAGAAAGAAAAAGGGGAGAUGUACAUGUGUGUAGUGUAUAUGUAUGUAUAGUUGUGUGUAUAUGUAUUCUCUUAUUAUAUAAGAUAGAGUUAG